CCUACGGGUGGCUGCAGUGAGGAAUAUUGGUCAAUGGACGAGAGUCUGAACCAGCCAAGUCGCGUGAAGGAUGACUGUCCUAUGGGUUGUAAACUUCUUUUAUAUGGGAAUAAAAUGUUCCACGUGUGGGAUUUUGUAUGUACCAUAUGAAUAAGGAUCGGCUAACUCCGUGCCAGCAGCCGCGGUAAUACGGAGGAUCCGAGCGUUAUCCGGAUUUAUGGGGGUUAAAGGGUGCGUAGGUGGAUUGUUAAGUCAGUUGUGAAAGUUGACGGCUUAACCGUAGAAUUGCAGUUGAAACUGGCAGUCUUGAGUACAGGAGAGGUAGGUGGAAUUCGUGGUGUAGCGGUGAAAUGCUUAGAUAUCACGAAGAACUCCGAUUGCGAAGGCAGCUCACUGGACUGCAACUGACGCUGAGGCGCGAAAGUGUGGGGAUCAAACAGGAUUAGAUACCCCGGUAGUC
rnacentral:rRNA from 1 species